rnacentral:lncRNA from 1 species
UAUCUUGGACGCAUAUGUUACUUAUGUAAAUCCACCAAAAAUUUCCCGGCGACCCGCUAAAAAAUUUAUUUCAAAAUCUUUUGACCGUUGAGCUCCUGAAAAUGUUUUCCUUCCCGGCGACCCCACCGUCCCGGCACCCAACGCCGGCAGUCACCCAACGCUGGCAGUCAACUUUUUCCUCCCUCCGCAAAUUUCACCGCAUGCUCGUCAAAUCUGUCACGUGUGCCCAACCGUUUCCGCAUUUUUCGCCGACUCUCCCUCUCUUUUCUUCCCUUUUUCCCCUUCCCCUUUUUCCUCUUCUCUUUUCUUCUUUUCUUCCUUCUCUUUCUUCCUUCUUCUUUCUUCCUCCUUUCUCCUUCUCCCUUUCCUUUCCUUCUUGGCACACCCUCCCGCGGCUCCCUGGCACCUAGCGCUUGGCACCAGCGCCUGGGCCCCACACGGCGCCCGCCCCCCACCCGCCUGGCGCCGC